AUUUUACAGUCGUGACGAAACAUCUUUAAAGUGUUAACAACCUUAAAAAGCAGCUCAAGGACGCCAAGCUGGUCGGCUCAAGGUCGUUACUGCCAAUGAAUCAUCCUUGCCAAUUCCUACCGAUUUGCAUUUUUUAACGAGGAAGGAAUUAUGCAAUUUUGAGAGCUUCAAUUUCCCAGCACCCGCCGUGGUUUUCAUUGGUGGUUUAUAGCUAUGUUAUAGAAUUCAAGCUGCCUGAUGUUUCUCUGCAGACAACUCAUCUUAUCAGAAUU